GCGGCUCAGUGGCAGAGCACCUGCUUGGCAUGCAGAAGGUCCUUGGUUUGAUACCCACGGCAUCUCCA